rnacentral:lncRNA from 1 species
GCUGGGCGGACGGAUCCCUUUCGCGGGGCAGGUCCAGAACUACCAGACGGCGGUGCAGACGCUGGUGAGCAUCCUGGGCGACCAGGACACGGCGUCGGACCACCUGAGCCGCUGCAUCUUCAGCGUCGGCAUGGGCAGCAACGACUACCUCAACAACUACUUCAUGCCGGCCUUCUACAACACGGGCAGCCGCUACAGCCCCGAGCAGUUCGCCGACGCGCUCAUCGCCGACUACCGCCGCUACCUCCAGGUGCUCUACAACUACGGCGCCCGCAAGGUGGUCUUGAUCGGGGUGGGACAGGUCGGGUGCAGCCCCAACGAGCUGGCCCGCUACAGCGCCGACGGGGUCACCUGCGUCGACCGCAUCGACGGCGCCAUCCAGAU